CACAUUCUUCUCUCCAAGAGGAAGACACUGAUGUGGAUACAUGGGAUAUAACAGAAUGGAGGCAGAUUGAUAGCAAAUAAAACAAAACGAGACCGAGAGGUGAAAGAGGACCAAAAGAGACCCCUACAAAAUACGAAAGACUUGAUUGUGGACACCUAGGAGCAAUGUGAGUAGCUUGAUGGAUCCGGAGUCAACCAACACCAUCAGGGAGAGUUUGGAAAUAAGCAGAGCAGAGGGCACUAAGACUGAUGGAAGAAACACAUCUGAUCCCAAGUGCAACUCAAAGACAAGUCUGACUGAUUACAAAGUUCUACUUUUCCCAGCAUGGUAG
rnacentral:lncRNA from 1 species